ensembl:lncRNA
ACACACACACACACACACACCUCAUACAACGCCACCGCCAAAGGACGCAAGGCCAGCAAGUGAAAUACAGACUAGCACACACACCUAUACACAAUUCUACCGUCAAAGGCCGCAAGGCCAUUAAGUGACUUGUACAACACACACACACACACACACACACACACAAACACACAAACAAACAUAUACACCUCUACCGUCAAAGGCCGCAAGGCCAUUAAGUGACUUGUACAACACACACACACACACACACACACACAGCGCCAAGGCCAAGAUGGCCAGCAAGUGACUUGCUCUUUUCUCUUUUGCUCUAGUAGAACUGUUUUAUGAUUGUUUUUUUAAUCAGUUUUAUUUUGAUCACUGUGUCUAUUGCGUUAGCCUUAUCAAAUCUCUUAAUGUUAUCGUUAUCUCUUCAAAUCCAGCGUUCACAUCAUGGAAAAUGACUUCCUGUUCCUCUUCAAAUCGAGUUAGCAAAGCGCUAAGUGGCAUUAGCAGUCUUCACCCUUCCCCCGUCGCCAUGGAGACUGGAAUCCUUUUGCACUGAGUCAUUGGUUCAUGAGUCCUCUUGUCCUGGGAUGUCAUUGGCUGCAGGCCAACCACACUAACCAAUCACAUGCCGUGAUACUCAUACUUCCCUAAUGUCUUAAGGCAACCUAAGCUCUCAGGCUCUCUGCAUUUAUGAAGCACUGGAGUCAGUAUGACCCAUUAGAGGCCGUUCCUGUACACACCCCAUACACACACACACACACACACAGUAUGACGCCACAGCUUCCUGUGAUAACCAACACUUGACACGAGUGCUUAACAUGUCAGCACCACCUGAACUCAGAGAAACAGCGCGCAGAUACGAUACGACUAGCUGUCCUCACGCCGAAUGAUCCGAAGGAAUCACCUGUCGACAGGUGAUUCAGACCAAGGUAAAUGACUACCUGUCGACAGGUGAUUCAGACCAAGGUAGAUGACUACCUAUGGACAGGUGAUUCAGACCAAGGUAGAUGACUACCUGUGCACGUAUAACUGAGUCACAUACCUCACCUGUGAAAAGGUAGUUAAACUUGGAGGUGUUGAAGAGAUGGAGGCGCUUACACCUUUUCUCAGGUGAUUCAAACGUAGCUUACCUUUUGCACAGGUAACGGAGAGUGCCGCCUGUGUGUCGACAUUCACACAGGGUCACCUAGAGUGGCGUCUGCCUGUUUAUUGCCUUCUUCCUCGCGUACCCCGCCGGAUCAAUCUAUAGAAUUGCUACCCCCACCUGCGUCCAGGUAACUACAACAGGUCUCUAGAAGUACAUCUGUGUGCAGGUGAUUGAUUGAGCCACAGCUCUGGGAGAGCAGGUGUAUGUAUGCAGAUGAUCUGUAAUACUGUGUCAACAUGUUCAUUAUUAAACUCCAUUCACUCACUAACUGAGGCAGGUUUGGUUUAUUGUGUGAAAAAAAAGAUGGUUUUACAUUAAUAAUGUUGUCAUUAAUGCUUUCAGUGUUGGUAUUGCAUUUCCCCAACAUACACAUUUUCAUAAGUUGCCUCUGGAACACACAUUUCUAGAUGACUUUAAUACGAUCAACGGUGAUUUAAAACACACUUCUAGAUCACUUUAAUACGUUCAGCUGUGAUUUAAAACACACUUCUGUCACUUUAAUAGGUUCAGCGGUGAUUUAAAAACACACUUCUAGAUCACUUUAAAAGUAACAGUAUGUAGCAAUUGUACUUCAGGG